rnacentral:misc_RNA from 1 species
GAUGAAGAACGCAGCGAAAUGCGAUAAGUGAUGUGAAUUGCAGAAUUCAGUGAAUCAUCGAAUCUUUGAACGCACCUUGCGCCUUUUGGUAUUCCGAAAGGCACACCUGUUUGAGCGUCAUGAAUACCUCAAUCUCCAUCUUUUCUUCGGAUUGAUGGGUGACUUGGAUGUUGAGCCCUGCUGGUAUGCUAUAUCAGCUGGCUUUAAACUUAUUAGCCGGCUCUGUACUGGAUCGGUUUGACUCGACGUGAUAAUAUUAUCGUUGAGGAUGCAUGUCUCAUGCAGCCGGAAAGUAUCAAAGCAGCUUCUAGCUUGCCUUUAGUGCACUUUUACAUUUUAGACCUCAGAUCAGGUGGGACUACCCGCUGAACUUAAGCAUAUCAAUAAGCGGAGGA